GCUGGGCGUGGUGGCUCAUGCCUGUAAUCCCAGCACUUUGGGAGGCUGAGGUGGGCGGAUCACCUGAGGUCAGGAGUUCAAGACCAGCCUGGCCAACAUGGUGAAACCCCGUCUCUA
rnacentral:SRP_RNA from 1 species